AUACGUAGGGUGCAAGCGUUAAUCGGAAUUACUGGGCGUAAAGCGUGCGCAGGCGGUUUUGUAAGAAAGUGGGGAAAUCCCCGGGCCCAACCUGGGAACUGCCAUUGUGACUGCAAGGCUGGAGUGCGGCAGAGGGGGAUGGAAUUCCGCGGGUAGGAGUGAAAUGUGUAUAUAUGCGGAGGAACACCGAUGGCGAAGGCAAUCCCCUGGGCCUGCACUAACGCUCAUGCACGAAAUCGAAGGGAGCAAACAGGAUUAUAUACCCUCUUAGCCCACGCACCAAACGAUUUCAACUAGUUGUUGGAAAUUUAGUUUACCAGUAACGAAGCUAACGUAUUAAGGUGACCGCCUUGGGAUUACGGCCUCAAGGUGAAGACUUAAAGGAAUUGACUGUG
rnacentral:rRNA from 1 species